rnacentral:rRNA from 1 species
UACGGGGGGGGCAAGCGUUGUUCGGAAUUACUGGGCGUAAAGGGCUCGUAGGCGGCCAACUAAGUCCGACGUGAAAUCCCAAGGCUUAACCUUGGAACUGCGUCGGAUACUGGAUGGCUUGAAUUCGGGAGAGGGAUGCAGAAUUCCAGGUGUAGCGGUGAAAUGCGUAGAUAUCGAGAGGAACACCUGCGGCGAAGGCGGGUAGCUGGGCCGACACUGACACUGAGAGACGAAAGCUAGGGGAGCGAAUGGG